GAGGUAUUGGUGUAGUAGUAGCACAACACUCUGUGGAAGUGUCAGGAGGGGUGCAAAUCCCCUAUACCUCC
rnacentral:tRNA from 1 species